CGCCAUAUCAUAUUGAAACAUUGGUUCCCGUACGAUCACUGAAGUUAAGCAAUAUCAAGCCUGGUUGGUACUUAGAUGAGUAACCGGGUGGGAAUAAUAGGUCCUGUAAG